rnacentral:misc_RNA from 1 species
AAAGUCGUAACAAGGUCUCCGUUGGUGAACCAGCGGAGGGAUCAUUACCGAGUUACCAAACUCCAAACCUUUGUGAACAUACCGUCGUUGCUUCGGCGGGCGGCUCCGGGGGAGCCCCCAGGCCAUUCGCGGUGCCCGCCGAAAGCCCAGACUCUUCAAUUUACAGCGGUCUCAGCCUCCGAGUGGAAAAAACAAACAAGUAAAAACUUUCAACAACGGAUCUCUUGGUUCUG